rnacentral:rRNA from 1 species
CUACGGGCGGCUGCAGUGGGGAAUAUUGGACAAUGGGGGGAACCCUGAUCCAGCCAUGCCGCGUGUGUGAAGAAGGCCUUUUGGUUGUAAAGCACUUUAAGCAGUGAAGAAGACUCUUCGGUUAAUACCCGGGGACGAUGACAUUAGCUGCAGAAUAAGCACCGGCUAACUCUGUGCCAGCAGCCGCGGUAAUACAGAGGGUGCAAGCGUUAAUCGGAAUUACUGGGCGUAAAGCGAGCGUAGGUGGCUUGAUAAGUCAGAUGUGAAAUCCCCGGGCUUAACCUGGGAACUGCAUCUGAAACUGUUAGGCUAGAGUAGGUGAGAGGGAAGUAGAAUUUCAGGUGUAGCGGUGAAAUGCGUAGAGAUCUGAAGGAAUACCGAUGGCGAAGGCAGCUUCCUGGCAUCAUACUGACACUGAGGCUCGAAAGCGUGGGUAGCAAACAGGAUUAGAUACCCUAGUAGUC